GAAACGACUGCUAAGACUGGAUAGGAGAUAAGAAGGCAUCUUCUUAUUUUUAAAAGACCUAGCAAUAGGUAUGCUUAGGGAAGAGCUUGCGUCACAUUAGUUAGUUGGUGGGGUAAUGGCCUACCAAGACGAUGAUGUGUAGCCGGGCUGAGAGGUCGAACGGCCACAUUGGGACUGAGACACGGCCCAAACUCCUACGGGAGGCAGCAGUAAGGAAUUUUCGGCAAUGGAGGAAACUCUGACCGAGCAAUGCCGCGUGAACGAUGAAGUAUUUCGGUACGUAAAGUUCUUUUAUUAGGGAAGAAAAGAUGGUGGAAAAACCAUUAUGACGGUACCUAAUGAAUAAGCCCCGGCUAACUAUGUGCCAGCAGCCGCGGUAAUACAUAGGGGGCAAGCGUUAUCCGGAAUUAUUGGGCGUAAAGGGUGCGUAGGCGGUUAAAUAAGUUUAUGGUCUAAGUGCAACGCUCAACGUUGUGAUGCUAUAAAAACUGUUUAGCUAGAGUUGGAUAGAGGCAAGUGGAAUUCCGUGUGUAGUGGUAAAAUGCGUAAAUAUACGGAGGAACACCAGAAGCGAAGGCGGCUUGCUGGGUCUUAACUGACGCUGAGGCACGAAAGCGUGGGGAGCAAACAGGAUUAGAUACCCUGGUAGUCCACGCCCUAAACGAUGAGUACUAAACGUUGGAUAAAACCAGUGUUGAAGUUAACACAUUAAGUACUCCGCCUGAGUAGUACGUACGCAAGUAUGAAACUUAAAGGAAUUGACGGGACUCCGCACAAGCGGUGGAUCAUGUUGUUUAAUUCGAAGGUACCCGAAAAACCUCACCAGGUCUUGACAUGCUUUUGCAAAGCUGUAGAAAUACAGUGGAGGUUAUCAGAAGCACAGGUGGUGCAUGGUUGUCGUCAGCUCGUGUCGUGAGAUGUUGGGUUAAGUCCCGCAACGAGCGCAACCCUUGUUGUUAAUUGCCAUCAUUAAGUUGGGGACUUUAGCAAGACUGCCAAUGAUAAAUUGGAGGAAGGUGGGGACGACGUCAAAUCAUCAUGCCCCUUAUGACCUGGGCUACAAACGUGAUACAAUGGCUGUUACAAAGGGUAGCUAAAGCGUAAGCUUCUGGCGAAUCUCAAAAAAGCAGUCUCAGUUCGGAUUGAAGUCUGCAACUCGACUUCAUGAAGUUGGAAUCGCUAGUAAUCGCGAAUCAGCAUGUCGCGGUGAAUACGUUCUCGGGGUUUGUACACACCGCCCGUCA
rnacentral:rRNA from 1 species